GACAGAGGUGCCAAGCGUUAGGCGGAAUCACUGGGCUUAAAGCGUGUGUAGGCGGACUUCUAAGUGCCUUGUGAAAUCCCACGGCUCAACCGUGGAACUGCUGGGCAUACUGGGAGUCUUGAGCAACCUAGGGGCGAGCGGAACAAAUGGUGGAGCGGUGAAAUGCGUAGAUAUCAUUUGGAACGCCAAUGGUGAAAACAGCUCGCUGGGGGUUUGCUGACGCUGAGACACGAAAGCCAGGGGAGCAAACGGG
rnacentral:rRNA from 1 species